rnacentral:rRNA from 1 species
AGCGUACACGGUGGAUGCCCUGGCAGUCAGAGGCGAUGAAGGACGUGCUAAUCUGCGAUAAGCGCCGGUAAGGUGAUAUGAACCGUUAUAACCGGCGAUUUCCGAAUGGGGAAACCCAGUGUGUUUCGACACACUAUCAUUACGUGAAUACAUAGCGUAAUGAAGCGAACCGGGGGAACUGAAACAUCUAAGUACCCCGAGGAAAAGAAAUCAACCGAGAUUCCCCCAGUAGCGGCGAGCGAACGGGGAGGAGCCCAGAGCCUGAAUCAGCAUGUGUGUUAGUGGAAGCGUCUGGAAAGGCGCGCGAUACAGGGUGACAGCCCCGUACACAAAAGCGCAUGUGCUGUGAGCUCGAUGAGUAGGGCGGGACACGUGGUAUCCUGUCUGAAUAUGGGGGGACCAUCCUCCAAGGCUAAAUACUCCUGACUGACCGAUAGUGAACCAGUACCGUGAGGGAAAGGCGAAAAGAACCCCGGCGAGGGGAGUGAAAAAGAACCUGAAACCGUGUACGUACAAGCAGUGGGAGCACAGGUUUACCUGUGUGACUGCGUACCUUUUGUAUAAUGGGUCAGCGACUUAUAUUCUGUAGCAAGGUUAACCGAAUAGGGGAGCCGUAGGGAAACCGAGUCUUAACCGGGCGUUAAGUUGCAGGGUAUAGACCCGAAACCCGGUGAUCUAGCCAUGGGCAGGUUGAAGGUUGGGUAACACUAACUGGAGGACCGAACCGACUAAUGUUGAAAAAUUAGCGGAUGACCUGUGGCUGGGGGUGAAAGGCCAAUCAAACCGGGAGAUAGCUGGUUCUCCCCGAAAGCUAUUUAGGUAGCGCCUCGUGAAUUCAUCUCCGGGGGUAGAGCACUGUUUCGGCUAGGGGGCCAUCCCGGCUUACCAACCCGAUGCAAACUGCGAAUACCGGAGAAUGUUAUCACGGGAGACACACGGCGGGUGCUAACGUCCGUCGUGAAGAGGGAAACAACCCAGACCGCCAGCUAAGGUCCCAAAGUCAUGGUUAAGUGGGAAACGAUGUGGGAAGGCCCAGACAGCCAGGAUGUUGGCUUAGAAGCAGCCAUCAUUUAAAGAAAGCGUAAUAGCUCACUGGUCGAGUCGGCCUGCGCGGAAGAUGUAACGGGGCUAAACCAUGCACCGAAGCUGCGGCAGCGACACUGUGUGUUGUUGGGUAGGGGAGCGUUCUGUAAGCCUGUGAAGGUGGCCUGUGAGGGUUGCUGGAGGUAUCAGAAGUGCGAAUGCUGACAUAAGUAACGAUAAAGCGGGUGAAAAGCCCGCUCGCCGGAAGACCAAGGGUUCCUGUCCAACGUUAAUCGGGGCAGGGUGAGUCGACCCCUAAGGCGAGGCCGAAAGGCGUAGUCGAUGGGAAACGGGUUAAUAUUCCCGUACUUGGUGUUACUGCGAAGGGGGGACGGAGAAGGCUAUGUUGGCCGGGCGACGGUUGUCCCGGUUUAAGCGUGUAGGUGUGUGUUCCAGGUAAAUCCGGUUCACUUUAACACUGAGGCGUGACGACGAGGCACUACGGUGCUGAAGCAACAAAUGCCCUGCUUCCAGGAAAAGCCUCUAAGCAUCAGGUAACAUCAAAUCGUACCCCAAACCGACACAGGUGGUCAGGUAGAGAAUACCAAGGCGCUUGAGAGAACUCGGGUGAAGGAACUAGGCAAAAUGGUGCCGUAACUUCGGGAGAAGGCACGCUGACACGUAGGUGAAGUGAUUUACUCAUGGAGCUGAAGUCAGUCGAAGAUACCAGCUGGCUGCAACUGUUUAUUAAAAACACAGCACUGUGCAAACACGAAAGUGGACGUAUACGGUGUGACGCCUGCCCGGUGCCGGAAGGUUAAUUGAUGGGGUCAGCGCAAGCGAAGCUCCUGAUCGAAGCCCCGGUAAACGGCGGCCGUAACUAUAACGGUCCUAAGGUAGCGAAAUUCCUUGUCGGGUAAGUUCCGACCUGCACGAAUGGCGUAAUGAUGGCCAGGCUGUCUCCACCCGAGACUCAGUGAAAUUGAACUCGCUGUGAAGAUGCAGUGUACCCGCGGCAAGACGGAAAGACCCCGUGAACCUUUACUAUAGCUUGACACUGAACAUUGAGCCUUGAUGUGUAGGAUAGGUGGGAGGCUUUGAAGUGUGGACGCCAGUCUGCAUGGAGCCGACCUUGAAAUACCACCCUUUAAUGUUUGAUGUUCUAACGUGGACCCGUAAUCCGGGUUGCGGACAGUGUCUGGUGGGUAGUUUGACUGGGGCGGUCUCCUCCUAAAGAGUAACGGAGGAGCACGAAGGUUGGCUAAUCCUGGUCGGACAUCAGGAGGUUAGUGCAAUGGCAUAAGCCAGCUUGACUGCGAGCGUGACGGCGCGAGCAGGUGCGAAAGCAGGUCAUAGUGAUCCGGUGGUUCUGAAUGGAAGGGCCAUCGCUCAACGGAUAAAAGGUACUCCGGGGAUAACAGGCUGAUACCGCCCAAGAGUUCAUAUCGACGGCGGUGUUUGGCACCUCGAUGUCGGCUCAUCACAUCCUGGGGCUGAAGUAGGUCCCAAGGGUAUGGCUGUUCGCCAUUUAAAGUGGUACGCGAGCUGGGUUUAGAACGUCGUGAGACAGUUCGGUCCCUAUCUGCCGUGGGCGCUGGAGAACUGAGGGGGGCUGCUCCUAGUACGAGAGGACCGGAGUGGACGCAUCACUGGUGUUCGGGUUGUCAUGCCAAUGGCACUGCCCGGUAGCUAAAUGCGGAAGAGAUAAGUGCUGAAAGCAUCUAAGCACGAAACUUGCCCCGAGAUGAGUUCU